GAUGAACGCUAGCUACAGGCUUAACACAUGCAAGUCGAGGGGAAACGCCAUCGAAAGCUUGCUUUUGAUGGGCGUCGACCGGCGCACGGGUGAGUAACGCGUAUCCAACCUGCCCAUCACUUGGGAAUAACCUUGCGAAAGUAAGACUAAUACCCAAUGACAUCCCACGAAGACAUCUGAAUGGGAUUAAAGAUUUAUCGGUGAUGGAUGGGGAUGCGUCCGAUUAGCUUGUUGGCGGGGUAACGGCCCACCAAGGCAACGAUCAGUAGGGGUUCUGAGAGGAAGGUCCCCCACAUUGGAACUGAGACACGGUCCAAACUCCUACGGGAGGCAGCAGUGAGGAAUAUUGGUCAAUGGGCGAGAGCCUGAACCAGCCAAGUAGCGUGCAGGAUGACGGCCCUAUGGGUUGUAAACUGCUUUUAUAAGGGAAUAAAGUGGGUCUCGUGAGACUUUUUGCAUGUACCUUAUGAAUAAGGACCGGCUAAUUCCGUG
rnacentral:rRNA from 1 species